rnacentral:rRNA from 1 species
ACGAACGCUGGCGGCGUGCUUAACACAUGCAAGUCGAGCGGUGAACCUGCUUCGGUGGGGGAUCAGCGGCGAACGGGUGAGUAACACGUGAGCAACCUGCCUUCAGCUUCGGGAUAACUCCGGGAAACCGGGGCUAAUACCGGAUAUGACCUCUUGUCGCAUGGCGGGGGGUGGAAAGAUUUAUCGGCUGGAGAUGGGCUCGCGGCCUAUCAGCUUGUUGGUGGGGUUGUGGCCUACCAAGGCGACGACGGGUAGCCGGCCUGAGAGGGUGACCGGCCACACUGGGACUGAGACACGGCCCAGACUCCUACGGGAGGCAGCAGUGGGGAAUCUUGCGCAAUGGGCGGAAGCCUGACGCAGCGACGCCGCGUGGGGGAUGAAGGCCUUCGGGUUGUAAACCUCUUUCAGCAGGGAAGAAGCGAAAGUGACGGUACCUGCAGAAGAAGCACCGGCUAACUACGU